rnacentral:snRNA from 1 species
AUCGCUUCUCGGCCUUUUGGCUAAGAUCAAGUGUAGUAUCUCU